rnacentral:lncRNA from 1 species
UUGCCAUACUAUUUUCCACAGUGGCUGGACUAAUUUACGCUCCCACCAACAGUGUAUAAGAGUUGCCUUUUCUCUGCAUACUUACCAACAUGUGUUAUUUUUUGUGCUUUUCAUAAUUGCCAUUCCAUGACUGGUUGAUUUCUUUACAAACUUUCCAGAAUAAAGUUCCUUAAUUUCCCCUGCUUUUAAAGAAUUGGAUGAAAUCUUAAGCUUAGCACAUCUAAUAGAAGUAGACCAUCAAGAGCAAGAAACAGAAAACUGAACCCCAUUUGAACUUGCUUCUCCUUAAGUCCUGUCCAAGACACAAAAGGAACAAAAAUGGCAUUGAGCCUUUCCUAGAUCCUGGCUGCUUAUGUCCAAGAUGAAGCUAGGACCUUCAGAAGCAAGCUCAAGAGAUGAUGAAUGAAGGAAGGUGGAGCUCCGAAGACCAUGAAGAACUGCUACAGAAGAAAACAAGCUUUCAAUAAAAUAAAAGAGACAUCAAUCACACAUUUUACCCAUUUAUGAAACAUGCUCAGGACAAGGUACUCAGACGUGAAGAAGCAUUCCCAGGAACCAUCUUGGAGAACUGGACUUGGUAACAUGAGAGCUGGGAAGUCCCAAUUCUUGGUCAUGAAGAGUCUACCACGAAGAGAAUUGGUUUGGAAACCAGAAGGCUAACUUUUACAUGAGGCACCAGGGCUAAUGCCCACAGAUUUCAGAGAGGACAAUAAUGGGUAUUUCUGAUGUUGAAAUCCUAGGAUUGAUCUGACAGCACAAACCAAAUGCCAGCAGUUUCCCUGGAGUUCUGCUGCGUGCUUUUGCCAACCCUGAUGAUCCAGAGGACCUCACAUCUCAAGUGGCUCCUAUGGUGAAGGAACUACGGAGUUUCUCUGAGCACCUAAGAUUACUCUGCUUCAAGGAACUCAUGAGUGUGUGGACAGAAAAUAUCUUUGAGGGAUUCCCAGGAGUGACUCCAAUGAAAGACCAAGAGAGUGAGUACACAUAGGCUGUUGUUCCAUUUCUCCAGAGGCCUUUCAGACCUGAUUUAGGCAGGACAGAAUUUCUUUGGAAGAGUCCCUGAGUUCCACAUUUCUAGAAUUCUACAACCUGAAUGGUAGGUCUGGCUGUCCCUCCAUCAGGCUGUACUUAUUUAAUAAAUACCCCAACCAUUAGGAACUCAAGGGGAAACGAGUUGGAAUUAGAAGACACUGUUUUUUGGUUCUGGUUUUUUCUUUUAUGACCAGCUCAUGUCAGGUCCCAAAACGAAGAGGAGGGCAGGUCUCAAACUAGGAGAAGAGAUUUACACUUUCUCUCACCAAAAGGAGGAUUGUAAUCCCCCAAAUAUGGUUGAUCAGUGAGUGACCCUUGAGUUAGCAGAAGCUGGAGCUACUAUGUAAUGGCCGUAUGGAUGAGGAGACAGUCAGAGGCAAGGUGUCCACAUGGUUCAGUGAGGGUCUUCCUCUACCUUUAGCUUGGCCUCUUUGAACAUAUCUAAUUGCAGUCUUCCAGGGUAAUUUUGAAGACAGAAACUUUAAGAUGAUAAUAUCAGCUUAAUAAAGACAGGAGGUUUUGUUCCCAUCUCCCCCCGUUCUCUUCUGGCCCCUGCAGUAUCGUCAGCAUAAUGCCCAACACACAGUAGGUGCUCAAUAAAUAUCUGUGGAGUAAAUACAAUGAUGCUAUUGCUGGAAUUAAUGGAUAGUCAAGCCAGCUUCAGGAAAGGGUGUGGAAUUGUCACAAAAAGAUUCUUAAAGGAAACACGGUCUAUCAAUUCUGCUUUUAGAGUGUGUGUAUGUGCUAACAGAGUUCAAUACAUCUCUUUCCUUCUUCCUCUAAGUCACACAAACAUUUUUUCCUGCUUAUAUAAUAAAAUACAGUUAUUUUUAAAAGUUUAAAAAUAAAGUCACCCUUCAAAGAACAAGUGAAUACAUAUAUGAAAUACGGUUAGAGAUUGUUUUGAAUCAUUUUGGAAUUUGAAGAUGCUUUCUCUUUUUGCAACACUACUGAUGAAAAGCUUAGAGUUUGAUAAAUUAUAAACCUAAUGAGGCUUCUAACUCCUCUAGCUAGUCAUUAGCUGCCAGGAAAUGAUCAUUAUUACUUAAUUAUAAGAUGAAACUAAACAUUGGGAAACGUUGAAAGUGAUCUGAUUGGCCAAUACACUAAGGACUAAUUUCACAGGCAUGCCCUCUACAUACCAAUUAAAGCUGCAUCACCAUAAUAAAAUGCUGCAUGCUGUUGGCUGUGUUCUAUGUUGUCAUUUUCAGAUUAGAACAACAAAAAUAAUUCCAGUCUAGGGCACUUCCUGGCCACCAACGUCUGCUAGGACUUUCUAUACCUUGGAGGAUAAGGUCUCCUCCUGAGGGCUUAUUACUCCUCAGGAAAUGCCCCAAAUUCUAUGCACGAAGUAAGAGGCACUUAAAAACAAUAAAGGCAACAAAUCAAUCAAUUAUCUGUUUUCCUAGCUGUCAGGUAGAAAAAUACCAAAAUGCUUUCCAAAAGGAAAGUGUACAUACGUGACACUUUCAUUUUGAUUUUGAGGGACAGUUUAUUAGCAGAGUGAGAAUGGGUGUUAGGGGAGAAUAUUGAGGACUAGCACUCCAUUAGUAUGGGCUCUACUGGCACACAGAUUUAAAAACACCAUUAAGAAGGGUUCUCCAGGAUAAAAUUUUCCAUUCUAGCUCAAUGCAUUAUAACAUCUAUGUCAUUCUAUACCAAUACUGAUUUGAUAAAAUGUCAUCUGCUUUUCCUUUCCGGAGUCUCCCUUCCAUUUGCCUGGUAUUAAAGGAUAGCAUAUUGGUUGAGACUAGGGGCCUGGAGCUCCCAGACUGCCUGGGUUCCAAUCCCAAUGCUAUUAUUUAAACAUACUAUUGGGUAUUUGGGUGAGAAGGAGAGAGAAAAUGAAGAUUUUUUGCUGAAACAAAGGCACCACCCAACUCAAGUACAAGGUGUGUUGCAGAAUUUCUUUUCUU